rnacentral:rRNA from 1 species
CCUACGGGGGGCUGCAGUGGGGAAUAUUGGACAAUGGGCGCAAGCCUGAUCCAGCCACGCCGCGUGAGUGAUGAAGGCCUUCGGGUCGUAAAGCUCUGUGGGGAGGGACGAACCGCCACCGGUUAAUACCCGGUGGCAUGACGGUACCUCCUUAGCAAGCACCGGCUAACUUCGUGCCAGCAGCCGCGGUAAUACGAAGGGUGCAAACUUUGCUGUGAAGCGUACGGCGUAAAGCUCACGUGUCCGAAGUGAAAUCCCUCGGCUCAAGCAAGGAAGGGCUUUCGAAACUGCUGAGCUUGAGUACUUAAGAGGAUCGCGGAAUUCCCGGUGUAGAGGUGAAAUUCGUAGAUAUCGGGAGGAACACCAGUGGCGAAGGCGGCGAUCUGGGAAGAUACUGACGCUGAGGUGCGAAAGCGAGGGGAGCAAACAGGAUUAGAUACCCUUGUAGUC